rnacentral:lncRNA from 1 species
AUGAGGGACGCGAUCGAAGGCAUGAACGACCAGAACUUCGACGACCGUAACAUCACCGUCAACAAGGCCCAGUCUUGUGGAAGCGGCGGUGGUGGUAACGGGGGUUACAACUGCGGAGGUGGCGGCAGAGCAUUGCCUAUUUGAUUUGCGGAGGUAGCACAAUGCGCUGUGACUUAACCCACAGAGCUUACUAUUGAAUGAAAAACAAGAUAUCCUCUUUUUAUUUGCCUCUAUUGAUAUACUAUAUGGAGUUUCUUUGCCUUUUCUGCCCUGUUGAAUUAUGAAUAUGGAUUUCUUAGUUCAAUUUAGAAAAUCUAUGUUAUUCUCUUAUUGGUUCAGCAUAUAUCUAUUGAAAUUUUGACGCGGGGAGUGAAUGGUUUCAUAUUAUCCCCGUAGUUUAUAGUGAAAUGACAUACUAUUCAAAUUCUGUAUACUAUUUCACCUUAUCAGUUAUGUGCUUUGGGCUUAUGAUUGUUAUCUGUGUUGUUCCAAUUAUUCUAUUAUGCUUAAUUAUUUUGUUCUUAUUUCUUGUUGUCAGAUUUGGUGAACAACCUUGGUACCAUUGCAAGGGUGGCACCAAGGAAUUUAUGGAAGCCUUGGCUGCUGGUGCUUAUCUUGUUGCAGAUAAGGUCAUUGUUACCACCAAGCACAAUGAUGGUGAGAAGUAUGUGUGGGAGCCACUCCGAUUCAAUGUUUAUGGUAUGUAGAGUGAUGAAGGAUCAAUUAAUUAUGCAAAUGAAAUGAUGUAGUUGAUUUUGAGUGGUAUGGAGUUGUAAAUUUUUAUCGUACUUAUUAUGCAAAUGAAAUGAUGUAGUUGUCAACUUCUAGUAAGUGGUAUGAAUAGUUGUUAUACUGUUCAUACCCUGCAACUAAGUUGAUUUCUAUGACAUAGUAUUAACAGUGUACUUCUAUGAGAUAGUAUUAACAGAUUUUUAGUAACAAAGCAUGCUCUAUAUUUUGCUCUAUAUAUAGUUGUGCAUUUGAAGUUUAUGAUAUGCAAAAUGUGAUUUUUUACUAGGAAUAUAGUAUUAACAAUGUACUUUUUUUUCUUGUAGAGGUAUUUCCUUUUGCCUUUGCGAUUGUAUCUAGUGAAACUGUAG